rnacentral:rRNA from 1 species
ACGGGAGGCAGCAGUGGGGAAUCUUGCCCAAUGGGCGCAAGCCUGAGGCAGCGACGCCGCGUGAGGGAAGAAGGCCUUCGGGUUGUAAACCUCUUUCAGGAGGGACGAAGCCACUCGGGUUAAUAGCCCAGAGGGUGACGGUACCUCCAGAAGAAGCCCCGGCUAACUACGUGCCAGCAGCCGCGGUAAUACGUAGGGGGCAAGCGUUGUCCGGAUUUACUGGGCGUAAAGAGCGUGUAGGCGGCCAGGCAGGUCUGUUGUGAAAACUGGAGGCUUAACCUCCAGACGUCGACAGAAACCGUCUGGCUAGAGUCCGGAAGAGGAGAGUGGAAUUCCUGGUGUAGCGGUGAAAUGCGCAGAUAUCAGGAAGAACACCAAUGGCGAAGGCAGCUCUCUGGGACGGUACUGACGCUGAGACGCGAAAGCGUGGGGAGCGAACAGGAUUAGAUACCCUGGUA